rnacentral:rRNA from 1 species
AGUGAACGCUGGCGGCGUGCUUAACACAUGCAAGUCGAACGGUAACAGCAGAGCUUGCUCUGGCUGACGAGUGGCGCACGGGUGAGUAAUAUAUAGUUAAUGUGCCUCGAAGACUGGGAUAGCCACUGGAAACGGUGAUUAAUACUAGAUAGUCCUUCUUUACAUAAGUAGAGUUGGUAAACGUUUUUUCGCUUCGAGAUCAGACUAUAUCGCAUCAGUUAGUUGGUGGGGUAAGAGCCUACCAAGACAAUGACGCGUAGCGGGUUUGAGAGGAUGAUCCGCCACACUGGUACUGAGACACGGACCAG